rnacentral:lncRNA from 1 species
GGGAAGACGUUUUGUGUAAAAGUGUCAGGUAGCCAAUAACAUUGAUACAUUGGCUAUUGAACCCAGGUUCAGGAGGACCCAAAGGAGGCAAAGCACAACCAAGAUAGAAUCACUGGAUAGUCUGCGUGUUCGCUCAACACCAACUAGCCACAGCCACUGCUAGUAGAACCACCACUCAACAACCAUCACUGUGAUGAUCAUCAACCAUCAUGUCUGCUAACAUUCCACCAGACUAUCACGGCACCAGAGUUGCCAUGAAACUAUAAUUGCCCCUGCCCCAAUACACCAUGCUCUUGAGAUAUGAAGUCCAGGGUCAGGAACUGAUUGGCUACACUCAAGCCCAUGUCUUAGUUCUCACAGGGAGUGAAAGAGAACACCUGCCUCUUAGCAGUUUCCAUAGUGGGAGCCAAGGAUGUUUGUUGGGCAGAUAAUAAACCAUAUCUCUACAGCCUCUCUAAAAAGUGACAUUUGAAGUGAUAUUUGAAUAAGGAGUAAAGGCAGCCAUGUGAAGAUCUGGAGCAAACACACUCUCGACCAAGAGAGCAGCAGAAGCAAAGAGUCUAAAACAGGAAUCAGCUUGGAGUUUUCAAGGGACAGAAAGUCCCUGGCUGGUUGGAACGUAAUGGACAAGGGAAAGAGAGUCAACAAAUGGGAUCCAAAAGGUGGCAGAGACCAGAUAUGCAGACUCCUAAAGACCAUGGAAGGACAUUUGCAUGUUAUUUUUAUUGAACAGGGAAAAUAUUGGAGAAUUGGAG